CCUACGGGAGGCAGCAGUGAGGAAUAUUGGUCAAUGGGCGCGAGCCUGAACCAGCCAAGUAGCGUGAAGGAUGACUGCCCUACGGGUUGUAAACUUCUUUUAUAAAGGAAUAUAGUGAGGCACGUGUGCCUUUUUGUAUGUACUUUAUGAAUAAGGAUCGGCUAAUUCCGUGCCAGCAGCCGCGGUAAUACGGAGGAUCCGAGCUUUUUCGGAAUUUCUUGGGUUUAAAGGGAGCGUAGAUGGGUGGUUAAGUCAGUUGUGAAAGUUUGCGGCUCAACCGUAAAAUUGCAAUUGAUACUGGCAGGCUUGAGUACAGUUGAGGUAGGCGGAAUUCGUGGUGUAGCGGUGAAAUGCUUAGAUAUCACGAAGAACUCCGAUUGCGAAGGCAGCUUACUAAGCUGCCACUGACAUUGAUGCUCGAAAGUGUGGGUAUCAAACAGGAUUAGAUACCCUAGUAGUC
rnacentral:rRNA from 1 species